GACGAACGCUGGCGGCGUGCUUAACACAUGCAAGUCGAACGGAAAGGCGCUGCUUUUGUGGGGUGCUCGAGUGGCGAACGGGUGAGUAACACAUGAGUAACCUGCCCUUGACUUUGGGAUAACAUCAGGAAACUGGGGCUAAUACCGGAUAGGAUCUCCUGCUGCAUGGUGGGGGUUGGAAAGUGUCGGCGGUUCGGGAUGGACUCGCGGGUUAUCAGCUAGUUGGUGAGGUAGUGGAUUACGAAGGCUUUGACGGGUAGCCGGCCUGAGAGGGUGACCGGGGACAAGGCGACUGAGAUACGGCGCAGACGGGUACGGGAGGCAGUAGGCGAGAGUCUGGCAGAAUGGGGGGGAGUCUGAUGCGAAGAUGCCGCGUGCGUAAUGACCGGUUUCGGGUGGUAAACCGCUGUCGCAUGUGACGAAGCGGGAGUGACGGUAAUGGGUAAAAAAGCACCGGCUAACUACGUG
rnacentral:rRNA from 1 species